GUUCAUCAAAGUAAGAUCUACAAAUAAGUCAACAUGACCUAAAUGGUCAAUUGACCCCUUAAGGAGUUAUUGCCCUUUAUAGUCAAUUUUUAACAAUUUUCAUUAAUUUGGUAAAUUUAUGUAAUUUUUUACAAAAUAUUUUUCUCUGUUACUAAUAGGCAAAGUUCAUUAUAGAUAUAAUUGUAAGAAGCAAGAACCUUCAGUAAAGUAAGAACUUCAAACACAUCACCAUCACUAA
rnacentral:lncRNA from 1 species